rnacentral:rRNA from 1 species
GACGAACGCUGGCGGCGUGCCUAACACAUGCAAGUCGAGCGGUAAGGCCCUUUCGGGGGUACACGAGCGGCGAACGGGUGAGUAACACGUGGGUGACCUGCCCUCAGCUCUGGGAUAAGCCUGGGAAACCGGGUCUAAUACUGGAUAUGACUCCAUGACGCAUGUUGUGGGGUGGAAAGCCUUGUGCGGCUGAGGAUGGGCCCGCGGCCUAUCAGCUUGUUGGUGGGGUGANGGCCUACCAAGGCGACGACGGGUGGCCGGCCUGAGAGGGCGACCGGCCACACUGGGACUGAGACACGGCCCAGACUCCUACGGGAGGCAGCAGUGGGGAAUCUUGCGCAAUGGGCGAAAGCCUGACGCAGCGACGCCGCGUGAGGGAUGACGGCCUCGGUUGUAAC